rnacentral:rRNA from 1 species
UACGUAGGUGGCAAGCGUUGUCCGGAAUUAUUGGGCGUAAAGCGCGCGCAGGCGGUUCCUUAAGUCUGAUGUGAAAGUCAAAGGCUCAACCUUUGAAAGCCGAUGGAUACUGCAGGGCUAGAGUACGGAAGAGGCGAGUGGAAUUCCUGGUGUAGCGGUGGAAUGCGUAGAUAUCGGGAGGAACACCAGUGGCGAAGGCGGCUUCCUGGACCGGUUCUGACACUGAGGAGCGAAAGCGUGGGGAGCGAUCCGG